AAAGGGGCUUCGGCUCCGAGUGAAGUGGCGCACGGGUGAGUAACACGUGGGUAACCUGCCUCUAAGAUUGGGAUAACUCGUCGAAAGAUGAGCUAAUACCGGAUAAGACCACAGUUCCCGCGGGAACAGGGGUCAAAGGUAGCCUCUGCUUGCAAGCUAUCACUUAGAGAUGGGCCUGCGCACCAUUAGCUAGUUGGUAGGGUAACGGCCUACCAAGGCAAAGAUGGUUAGCUGGUCUGAGAGGAUGAUCAGCCACACUGGAACUGAGACACGGUCCAGACUCCUACGGGAGGCAGCAGUGGGGAAUAUUGCGCAAUGGGCGAAAGCCUGACGCAGCAACGCCGCGUGAGUGAUGAAGGCCUUCGGG
rnacentral:rRNA from 1 species